UGCUAGUGAUGAAGCUGCCUCGCUCUGAGCACUGGGCCUUGCCUGGGGGCUCUAGGGAGCCAGGGGAGAUGCUACCACGGAAGCUGAAACG
rfam:Mus musculus partial mRNA for transient receptor potential channel 7 (Trp7 gene)